rnacentral:rRNA from 1 species
CCUACGGGUGGCUGCAGUCGAGAAUCAUUCACAAUGGGGGAAACCCUGAUGGUGCGACGCCGCGUGGGGGAAUGAAGGUCUUCGGAUUGUAAACCCCUGUCAUGUGGGAGCAAAUUAAAAAGAUAGUACCACAAGAGGAAGAGACUGCUAACUCUGUGCCAGCAGCCGCGGUAAUACAGAGGUCGCAAGCGUUGUUCGGAAUCACUGGGCGUAAGGCGUGCGUAGGCUGUUUCGUAAGUCGUGUGUGAAAGGCGAGGGCUCAACCGGCGGACGGCACAUGAUACUGCGAGACUAGAGUAAUGGAGGGGGAACUGGAAUUCUCGGUGUAGCAGUGAAAUGCGGAGAGAUCGAGAGGAACACUCGUGGCGAAGGCGGGUUCCUGGACAUUAACUGACGCUGAGGCACGAAGGCCAGGGGAGCGAAAGGGAUUAGAUACCCUAGUAGUC